CCUACGGGUGGCAGCAGUGGGGAAUAUUGCACAAUGGGGGAAACCCUGAUGCAGCGACGCCGCGUGAGUGAGGAAGUUUUUCAGUAUGUAAAGCUCUAUCAGCAGAGAAGAAAAUUACGGUACCUGACUACGAACCCCCGGCUAACUACGUGCAAGCUGCCGCGGUAAGACGUAGGGUGCAAGCGUUAUCCGGCUUUACUGGGUGUAAAGGGAGAGUAGACGGCUAAUCAAGUCAGAAGUGAAAACCCAGGGCUCAACUUUGGGACUGCUUUUGAAACUGAGUAGCUAGAGUGGAGGAGAGGUAAGCGGAAUUCGUAGUGUAGCGGUGAAAUGCGUAGAUAUUAGGAGGAACACCAGUGGCGAAGGCGGCUUACUGGACUGGAACUGACGUUGAGGCUCGAAAGCGUGGGGAGCAAACAGGAUUAGAUACCCGGGUAGUC
rnacentral:rRNA from 1 species